GAAUCUCCCUAGAUCCGAGAGAAAGAGGAAGUAUUCCAAUACAUAUGACCUCCCUUAAGAAAAAAGGAAAUAUUCUAUUAUCUAAGGAUAUAAUGAAUAUUUCCAAAUCCUAAGAAGGAAGCGCAACCUCCACCAUAAAUAUAGGUUUCUAAACCUAAAGAAGAGGGGGAAGACGCCCAUAACCAGAGCUCACCAAUUCUACAGCCGCCAAAGCAAGGUUUCGCACCUAGAAGACCAUCUUCAUCUACAGGCUUAUAACCGAUGAAUCCCUGCGAUUACUGUCAACUAGAUGAAGAUAUAUGCUCCCUGCAGCACAUCUACAACUCUACUUACUGGCUCGGGCCACGAUCUCCAGCUCCUCAGCAGGGUCCC
rnacentral:lncRNA from 1 species